GAUGACACGAAGUUACAGGAAACGGUAUUGCCAGAAAUCCCCUUUUUGCCUGUCUACAAAGCCCAAAUCUUCCCACCUCUCUCAGGUUCCUGGGAGGGUCAGUCAAAAUGUAGAGGUGAGGCUUCCCUUUCAGCUUUGAUGUAGGUGGUCUGUGUAGUAAGGGGGUCUAUGGAAUAUCCCCUGGUCUGGCUCCCAUUGUGCCUCUCACCAUAAAGACCCACCCUGCUUCACAGGUCUGAUAUUGGUUAAGAUAAAGGUUGCACUGUUGCAAAUGCCCUCUACCAUCUGAGCUUUUCUUCAGCGAUUUCACCCUGUGUAAUGAACGGAAUGUUAAAUAACAGAUGUUAUUUUCCAUAAUUAUUCUUCAUGGGCUUUUUAGAAUGAUCGUGAGAAGAACCACAUCUGGGAAUAGAUUUUUGUUGGCUGAAGAUGUUUGCAUGCUCAUGUUGAUCUUUGCGUGUUCUUCUAUAUACUGAAUCGUGCAAUUGACUCUUGUUCUGUUGAAUAUCAUCCGCCUCAGUUUGUAUGUGUUGGAGGAAACCUUUCACGGGUGAAAACUUUUAUUGCCUACGUAGCUGAAGAACUGGGGCUUGGGAGCCCUGGUAGUGACUAUCGUAACAUCUGAGCGUUACGCAGGGUACAAAGUGGGACCUGUUUUGUCCGUCAGUGUGAGUGCCUCACUUCAACAGAUAGGCAACACAUUGCAAUUAUUCUAUUCAAAGCAGAAAAUGUGAAGGCACAUUUCUCUUAAACACUUUCAGUAGACCGAGUCAGGUUUUUAAGUUUGUAUCAGCCUGCUCAAAAGAGUGCAGUCAGCUAAUGGAGAAUUCCUUCUCAGCCCUUUAUUGUAAGAGAGCAAAUCUCUGAGCCCUUCAUUCCUUUCUUGUCUCCUUUUUCCUCAGUGGACCACUGCAGGAAUGUCCUUCUAAAUGUUUUGAUCAGGCUCGCUGUUGCCUUGUCCCUGUUCCGUAUCCUGAAUAAUGGGGGGAAAGGAUCACUUGAUGCAUGGGGGGUGCUGGGAAAAAAGGGCUGUAUUGCAUGCAGAGCUCAGUACCUGCAGUAGCAUUGUCGAAUGUGCUAACGUGGCCUGAGAGUAGCAUUCCAUGGGACUUGUGCUGCCACGUAUGCAUUCUAAAACUUCAUACCUUUAAUUUGUAGAUGUGAUUACAGGCUUCAAUUGCAACUGCAUCGCUGUAGUAUCAUUAUGCAUCUUUUGAGCUGUAAUGAUUGCAUUAUGGUGAACGUGAAGGUGGACUCACAUUUGCUGAGCUUUGUAGCUAAACCACAAUAUCUGUGUUUUGAAAGAAUUUAACUAUUCACGAGCACCUCAGUUUGCUAAAAAAAACCAUAGUGAGGGGGUUUUGUGUGUUAAAGGGCAUUUCUGUGAUGAAGUGGGUUCAUCAGCUAUUAGGAAAGGACACUACUUCUGCUUGUAAGAAUGUAAAUAUUGUAUAACUAAUGAUUUUGAGGAAUAUUGUACUUUAUCCGUAGCCUAUUAAAGCCAGUGAGAGUCUUUGUUUGCCUGUUUCCCUGCCUUUCAGUAGGCCUAGAGGUUAGGUUUUUUGUGGGAGUGAAUUAGGUGACAUUGGGGGGAAAAAAUGAUCAGUAAGGAGAUACUGCCUGGCUCCUUUUUGCGUUGUCUGUGUGAAUGUGGAAUAUGAAUUUCUGCUUUCAUUUCAGCAUGGUAUGGGCAUUCCUUCUAUUUCAAUCGUGUCGCAUGAGCUGAUCAAACUGUUGUAUCGUGCCAAGUGUUCCAACGUAACCACUGUUUGUAUUGGCACUUCUGGUGGAAUAGGUCUGGAGCCAGGCUCAGUGGUUAUAACCCGGCAGUGUGGAGGAACCCCCUUCAAACCUCAAUUUGAAGAGGUUGUUCUGGGAAAGACCGUACUUCGCAGUACAAACCUGGAUGAACAGCUGGCUAAGGAACUGAUGCAGUGCGGGAAAGAAAUCGGUCGAUUCGAUACAGUCAUUGGAAACACGAGGUGCACUUUGGAUUGCAGUGGAGCCAGGUCUGGAGCACCUUCAAAAGAGACAGCCCUGCUUGCCAGGCAGAGACCGUAUCCCCAUCCCGGGACAGCUGCUGGGACGUCUCAUCUUUUACUGCUUUUGCAAGAGCUGGGAGAUCAGAUGGGGGGCUUUGGAUGCUCUUCAUUACCUCUUCAGAUUCUUCCAGCAGCAAAGCUGUCAGAGGAGCUGGGGUGGGCUGCCUCCCUCCACACACACAGACCUUUCCUCGUGUGCCUGCUUCUCUCGCUGAGUAUUGCAAGGGAGUUCUCUGGUGCUUCUGGAAGUCAUGCAUGAAAGUCUGCCAGAUACCAGACCUCCUUGGCCCCACACACCCCCAAGUCCUUCUCCUCAAGGCUGCUCUCCAUCACAUCGUCCCCCAUCGUGUACUGAAAACAGGGAUUGCCCCGACCCGGGUUUAGGACCUUGCCCUUGGCCUUGUUGAAUGUCAUGAGGUUCUCGUAGCCCCACUUCUCCAGCCUGUCCAGGUCCCUCUGGAUGACAUCCCAUCCUUCCGGUGUGGCAACUGCACCACUCAGCUUGGUGUCCUCACCAAGGGAAAGAGCAAAGCUGAUGCACCUGGAGCAGCGCUGGCUGUUGUCCUUCAACAUUUGGACUUUAUCCUCAGCUGAGUGACUGCUCCCAGGGAGUGGUGUUUGACAGCCUGGAGACCCUCUUUGCACGCAACAUGGUGUCUGCUCUCCUCUGCCUGCUUAAAGCUGUCAGAAAACAACCUCAUAUCUAUUUUGUGAACCUGUCCCGGGAUUAUGCUUCUUGGAAAGCCGGGGAGGCAGCGGUGAAAGAUGAGAAAGCCCCUUCUUCACCAAACCAGAUGGAUUGUCGGUAGGCGUGAUGUGCAGCGGUGCUGGCUUGUUGUGAGGGAGGUUCAGAGGCCCCCUCUAUGCUACUCCAUGUGCCUCUCUGGACGGACAGCAAGACGGUGGUCCUGCACAACCCUACCCCGCUGCCCGUGGCCUGGCGGAUCCGUGGGCUGGAAGGCCUUGGGGAGGGCUUCUCAGUGUCGCAGGAUGCAGGCAUCAUUGGUCCCUGCUCAGAGUUUGGCAUGCGUUUGUGUUUCGAGGCCACAAAGGUUGACAGCAUUAAGAAGACAUUCCAAAUAGAGGUUUCAGAUGCAGAAAAACUCCUGGGCAUUGUUCGGGUUGAAAGUUGUCCAAGUCUUUGCGGAGGCCUAUGACAUUGGUCUGGACAUCAACGUUUCUGCAGGUAGAGGUUAUGUGGAUUUUGGAGCCCUUAAAGUCCUGGGUGAGGCAAAGCAAGUGCUGACUCUGAAGAACAGAGGGAAGUACGAGAUCGUGUACAGGCCGUGAAGCCAGGCUGCCCCUCCACAUCAAAGCGGAGGGCAUAGGGCCCCGGCUCCGCUUCAGCUUCGAGCAGCUGGACAUUGGGAAUGUUUUUGCUGGAUCAGCCCACAGGUAUGAGGUGA